rnacentral:piRNA from 1 species
GAAAGCCAAAAGGGUGCUAGAGGUGA